rnacentral:rRNA from 1 species
AGAGUUUGAUCCUGGCUCAGAUUGAACGCUGGCGGAAUGCUUUACACAUGCAAGUCGAACGGCAGCACGGGUGCUUGCACCUGGUGGCGAGUGGCGAACGGGUGAGUAAUGCGUCGGAACGUACCGAGUAAUGGGGGAUAACGCAGCGAAAGUUGUGCUAAUACCGCAUACGCCCUCCGGGGGAAAGCAGGGGAUCUUCGGACCUUGCGUUAUUCGAGCGGCCGACGUCUGAUUAGCUAGUUGGUGGGGUAAAGGCCUACCAAGGCGACGAUCAGUAGCGGGUCUGAGAGGAUGAUCCGCCACACUGGAACUGAGACACGGUCCAGACUCCUACGGGAGGCAGCAGUGGGGAAUUUUGGACAAUGGGGGCAACCCUGAUCCAGCCAUUCCGCGUGAGUGAAGAAGGCCUUCGGGUUGUAAAGCUCUUUCAGCAGGAACGAAACGGUACGCUCUAACACAGUGUGCUAAUGACGGUACCUGCAGAAGAAGCACCGGCUAACUACGUGCCAGCAGCCGCGGUAAUACGUAGGGUGCGAGCGUUAAUCGGAAUUACUGGGCGUAAAGCGUGCGCAGGCGGAUUGUUAAGCAAGACGUGAAAUCCCCGGGCUUAACCUGGGAGUGGCGUUUUGAACUGGCAGUCUAGAGUGUGUCAGAGGGGGGUAGAAUUCCACGUGUAGCAGUGAAAUGCGUAGAGAUGUGGAGGAAUACCGAUGGCGAAGGCAGCCCCCUGGGAUAACACUGACGCUCAUGUACGAAAGCGUGGGUAGCAAACAGGAUUAGAUACCCUGGUAGUCC